rnacentral:rRNA from 1 species
CGGCAGUGGGGGGUGCUAUACAUGCAGUCGAACGAACUCUGGUAUUGAUUGGUGCUUGCAUCAUGAUUUACAUUUGAGUGAGUGGCGAACUGGUGAGUAACACGUGGGAAACCUGCCCAGAAGCGGGGGAUAACACCUGGAAACAGAUGCUAAUACCGCAUAACAACUUGGACCGCAUGGUCCGAGCUUGAAAGAUGGCUUCGGCUAUCACUUUUGGAUGGUCCCGCGGCGUAUUAGCUAGAUGGUGGGGUAACGGCUCACCAUGGCAAUGAUACGUAGCCGACCUGAGAGGGUAAUCGGCCACAUUGGGACUGAGACACGGCCCAAACUCCUACGGGAGGCAGCAGUAGGGAAUCUUCCACAAUGGACGAAAGUCUGAUGGAGCAACGCCGCGUGAGUGAAGAAGGGUUUCGGCUCGUAAAACUCUGUUGUUAAAGAAGAACAUAUCUGAGAGUAACUGUUCAGGUAUUGACGGUAUUUAACCAGAAAGCCACGGCUAACUACGUGCCAGCAGCCGCGGUAAUACGUAGGUGGCAAGCGUUGUCCGGAUUUAUUGGGCGUAAAGCGAGCGCAGGCGGUUUUUUAAGUCUGAUGUGAAAGCCUUCGGCUCAACCGAAGAAGUGCAUCGGAAACUGGGAAACUUGAGUGCAGAAGAGGACAGUGGAACUCCAUGUGUAGCGGUGAAAUGCGUAGAUAUAUGGAAGAACACCAGUGGCGAAGGCGGCUGUCUGGUCUGUAACUGACGCUGAGGCUCGAAAGUAUGGGUAGCAAACAGGAUUAGAUACCCUGGUAGUCCAUACCGUAAACGAUGAAUGCUAAGUGUUGGAGGGUUUCCGCCCUUCAGUGCUGCAGCUAACGCAUUAAGCAUUCCGCCUGGGGAGUACGGCCGCAAGGCUGAAACUCAAAGGAAUUGACGGGGGCCCGCACAAGCGGUGGAGCAUGUGGUUUAAUUCGAAGCUACGCGAAGAACCUUACCAGGUCUUGACAUACUAUGCAAUCUAAGAGAUUAGACGUUCCCUUUCGGGGACAUGGAUACAGGUGGUGCAUGUGUCGUCAGCUCGUGUCGUGAGAUGUGGUAGUCCCGCACGAGCGCACCCUAUAUCAGUGCCAGCAUUAAGUUGGCACCUCUGGGUGGAAGACUGCCC